rnacentral:lncRNA from 1 species
AAAGGUGACUGAUACAACAACGUAGAGGACCCUGCAAUGUGGAGAGGCAUGAAACUGGAGGUCCAAUGCCGUGAGUUAACAACCAAGACGUCCAUACAGGAGAUGCAUUGGUGGAUGGGUGAAGAGAUGAUAAAACGGUUGCAUCAGGAUGUCGGGCUCUGCAGGUGCCAGCACGCUGGAACUCAUGCUCGGGUUGGCGGGUGGUUGGAGGAGUGUGAGCUGUGCUUUUUCAUCCCCGCAUCCCCAGCACCCAGCAUGGAGAAGGGGUGUGAUCAAUAUCUGUCGGAAAUGGAACAAGCCUCGGGAUAAACAGCCUCAUCCUGGGAUGUGCCAGACAGUGGUCAUUGUUCUAAAGGCUCGAAAAGCCCAGAGGAGAAAUGAAGAUGCAAAGAGAAAGAAAAAAACCCCAACCAGAGAGCUGCAAGGAUAUCAGGAAGAGGGAGUGUCCGGGGACGGAGCAGAGCGCGCUUUUCCGAACGCCUUACUCCGGGCUGGCGCUGCUUUCUGCAAGCCCGUGCGGUGCACGUGA